rnacentral:rRNA from 1 species
AACGAACGCUGGCGGCAUGCCUAACACAUGCAAGUCGAACGAGACCUUCGGGUCUAGUGGCGCACGGGUGCGUAACGCGUGGGAAACUGCCCUUAGGUUCGGAAUAACACCCCGAAAGGGGUGCUAAUACCGGAUAAUGUCUUCGGACCAAAGAUUUAUCGCCUUUGGAUGGGCCCGCGUUGGUUUAGCUUGUUGUUAGGGUAAAAGCCUACCAAGGCGAGGAUCCAUAGCUGGUCUGAGAGGAGGAUCAGCCACACUGGGACUGAGACACGGCCCAGACUCCUACGGGAGGCAGCAGUGAGGAAUAUUGGACAAUGGGCGAAGGCCUGAUCCAGCAAGGCCGCGUGAGUGAUGAAGGCCUUAGGGUUGUAAAGCGCUUUUACCCGGGAUGAUAAUGACAGUACCGGGAGAAUAAGCUCCGGCUAACUCCGUG